UACGUAGGAGACGAGCGUUGUCCGGAAUCAUUGGGCGUAAAGCGCGUGUAGGCGGUCCGGUAAGUCCGCUGUGAAAGUCGGGGGCUCAACCCUCGGAUGCCGGUGGAUACUGUCGGGCUUGAGUACGGAAGAGGCGAGUGGAAUUCCUGGUGUAGCGGUGAAAUGCGCAGAUAUCAGGAGGAACACCAAUUGCGAAGGCAGCUCGCUGGGACGUUACUGACGCUGAGACGCGAAAGCGUGGGGAGCAAACAGG
rnacentral:rRNA from 1 species